GUAAAAGUGCGUUAUCAUUUAUCAAAUAUAAUUACUUUAAAAACAUUCAAAGAUUUAGUAUAGGAGAUAAAAAUUUAAUAAUUUUAUGCAGAGAAUAAAGUACUGAAAAGGAAAGUUAAAACUAUAAUAAAGAAAAAAUAGAAUUUUGUACCUUUUGCAUCAUGGUUUAGCUAGAUCGAAUUUAAUAUAAAAAAUCUAGAAAUCCUACGAGCUAUUUUUAGUUGUCUUUUAGGGAUAAAUGAGGUAAUUGUGGAAUAAAUUUCUCUAAAACUAAAAAUAGAUAUCAGAUUUUUUUCGCGUUGGAUGAUAGCUAGUUCUUCUUUAAAGGCAUAUAAGUGUCUUAAAUUGACUUUUAUAUUAUAAAUUCAUUUUUAUAAUCAUAGACUUUAAUUUACUUAAAUUUUUGAGGAUAAGCUCAAAGAUAAAAACCAUAAAUACAUAAUGUUUUUAUAUAAAUUUAGGCUUGAAAAUAGCUAAAAUUCGUUGAUUUUGUUACAAUUUCAUUAUUAUAAUGAAAACAUGAUAAAUUUGUAUAUGAUAUGAAAAGAAGAAAACUCUUGAACUUAUCCCUGAGUUAAUCAUAUGCUAAAAUGAGUAUUUCUAUUAUGUAAUUCCUAGUAAAUAUAUUAUUAGGACUAAAUACUUCAUAUUGAUUAAAUAUCUAAAAUUGUGAAAAGGAACUCGGCAAAUUAAGUAUUCCGCCUGUUUAUCAAAAACAUCGCUCCCUGUCUAAAGUAAAUAGGGAGUCGGACCUGCCCAGUGAAUUUUUAACGGCCGCGGUACUCUGACCGUGCAAAGGUAGCAUAAUAAUUUGCCUUAUAAUUGAAGGCUGGUAUGAAUGGUUUGACGAGAAUAAAGCUGUCUCUUUACAAUUUUCUAGAAAUUUAUUUAUGGAUGAAAAAGUCCAUAUAUUAUUAAAAGACAAGAAGACCCUAUCGAGCUUGAAAGAAUUUAGUAAAUCAAAUAAUUAAUUAGAACUAAAAAAUAGUUUACUAAAAAUUUUAGUUGGGGCGACUGAGGAACAAAUAAAGCUUCCUUAAAGUAUAGUCUUUUGCUUAUUAGCUUUGAUCCAGAAAUUUCUGAUUAAUAAAAUUAGUUACCGUAGGGAUAACAGCAUUAUCUUUUUUGAGAGCUCUUAUCGAAAAAAAGGUUUGUGACCUCGAUGUUGGACCAGAAUAUCCUAAAGAUGCAGCAGUCUUUAAGGGUUGGUCUGUUCGACCAUUAAUAUUCUACGUGAUCUGAGUUCAGACCGGCGUGAGCCAGGUCAGUUUCUAUCUUUAAUUUUAUUUAACAAACUUAGUACGAAAGGAUUAGUUUGUAAUAAAAAGUUAUAUAGAAAGAAGAAAUAU
rnacentral:rRNA from 1 species